GGUUCGAUUCUAGCUCCGGGUGAACGCUGGCGGGAUGCUUUACAUGCAAGUCGAACGGCAGCACGGACUGCGGUCUGGUGGCGAAAUUACAGCGAGAACGGGUGAGUAAUAUCGGAACGUGCCUAGUAGCGGGGGAUAGCUACGCGAAAAGCGUAGCUAAUACCGCAUACGCCGCCGGGGAAAGCGGGGGACCUUCGGGCCUCGCACUAUUAGAGCGGCCGAUAUCGGAUUAGCUAGUUGGUGGGGUAACGGCUCACCAAGGCGACGAUCCGUAAGCUGGUUUGAAGGACGACCAAACCACACUGGGACUGAGACCUGGCCCAGACUCCUACGGGAGGAGGCAGCAGUGGGGAAUUUUGGACAAUGGGGAAACCCUGAUCCAGCCAUCCCGCGUGUGCGAUGAAGGCCUUCGGGUUGUAAAAGCACUUUUGGCAGGAAGGAAACGGCACGGGAUAAUACCCGUGCAACUGACCAGUACCUGCAGAAUAAGCACCGGCUAACUACGUGCCAGCACAACCGCGGUAAUACGUAGGGUGCAAGCGUUAAUCGGAAUUACUGGGCGUAAAGCGUGCGCAGGCAGUUCCGGAAGGAGAAUCUUGAAAUCGAAGCUUAACUGGAACUGCAUUUUUAACGCUACAGAACUGGGUGUGUCAGAGGGAGGUGGAAUUCGCGUGUAGCAGUGAAAUGCGUAGAUAUGCCGGAGAACACCGAUGGCGGCAGCCUCCUGGGAUAACCACUGACGCUCAUGCACCAAAACGUGGGAGCAAACAGGAUUAGAUACCUGGUGAUCCACGCCUAAGCAAUCAACUAGCUGUUGUGAGGCCUUCGGGCCUUGGUAGCUGGCUAACGCCGUGGGGUUGACCGCCUGCCAAGGGUCUGUUGCCGGAUUCAAAACUCAAAGGAAUUGACGGGGACCCGCACAAGCGGUGGAUGAUGUGGAUUAAUUCGAUGCAACACGAAAAACCUUACCUACCCUUGACAUGUCUGGAAUCCCGAAGAGAUUUGGGAGUGCUCGCAAGAGGCGGAACACAGGUGCUGCAUGGCUGUCGUCAGCUCGUGUCGUGAGAUGUUGGGUUAAGUCCUGAAGCGCAACCCUUGUCAUUAGUUGCUACGAAAGGGCACUCUAAUGAGACUGCCAGUGACAAACCGGAGGAAGGUGGGGAUGACGUCAAGUCCUCGCGAGCGCCUUAGGUGGGCUUACGUCAUACAAUGGUCGGGACAGAGGGUCGCCAACCCGCGAGGGCCAAUCCCAGAAACCCGAUCGUAGUCGGAUCGCGGUCUGCAACUCGACUGCGUGAAGUCGGAAUCGCUGUUAAUCGCGGAUCAGCAUGUCGCGGUGAAUACGUUCCCGGGUCUUGUACACACCGCCCGUCACACCAUGGGAGUGGGUUUUACCAGAAGUAGCCCACAGCAAGGAGGGCGAUUACCACGGUAGGAUUCAUGACUGGGAGUGAAGUCGUAACAAGGUAG
rnacentral:rRNA from 1 species